rnacentral:rRNA from 1 species
GACGAACGCUGGCGGCGUGCUUAACACAUGCAAGUCGAACGGUAAAGCGCUGCUUUUUUGGGGUGCUGGGGUGGCGAAGGGAUGAGUAACACGAGAGUAACCUGCCCUUGCCUUUGGUAUAACUUCAGGGCACUGGGGCUAAUACAGGAUAGGAGAUCCUGGUUCUUUCGGGUGGUUGGUCAGUGUCGGCGGUUGGGGAUGGACUGGCGGCCUUUCAGCCCGUUGGUGGGGUAGUGGCUGACCAAGGCUUUGACGGGGUGCCGGCCUGAGAGGGUGACCGGCCACAUUGGGACUGAGAUACGGCCCAGACUGCUACGGGAGGCAGCAGUGGGGAAUAUUGCACAAUGGGCGGAAGCCUGAUGCAGCAACGGCGCGUGCGGGAGGACGGCCUUCGGGUUGGAAACCGCGUUCUCCUGUGACGAAGCGUGAGUGACGGGAAGGGGGAAAGAAGGACCGGCUAACUACGUG